rnacentral:misc_RNA from 1 species
AAGUCGUAACAAGGUUUCCGUAGGUGAACCUGCGGAAGGAUCAUUACAGAGUUCAUGCCCUUCGGGGUAGACCUCCCACCCUUUGUAUACAUUGCCUUUGUUGCUUUGGCGGGCCGCCUUUUGGCCACCGGCUCCGGCUGGUGCGCGCCCGCCAGAGAACCCCAAACCCUGUCUUACAGUGUCGUCCGAGUACUAUAUAAUAGUUAAAACUUUCAACAACGGAUCUCUUGGUUCUG